UACGAAGGGGGCUAGCGUUGCUCGGAAUCACUGGGCGUAAAGGGUGCGUAGGCGGGUCUUUAAGUCAGAGGUGAAAUCCUGGAGCUCAACUCCAGAACUGCAUUCGAUACUGCUGCGCUAGAGUACUGGAGAGGAGAUUGGAAUUUACGGUGUAGCAGUGAAAUGCGUAGAUAUCGUAAGGAAGACCAGUGGCGAAGGCGGAUCUCUGGACAGUUACUGACACUGAGGCACGAAGGCCAGGGGAGCAAACGGG
rnacentral:rRNA from 1 species